rnacentral:rRNA from 1 species
UACGGAGGGGGCUAGCGUUGUUCGGAAUUACUGGGCGUAAAGCGCACGUAGGCGGCUUUGCAAGUUAGAGGUGAAAGCCCGGGGCUCAACUCCGGAAUUGCCUUUAAAACUGCAUCGCUAGAAUUGUGGAGAGGUAAGUGGAAUUCCGAGUGUAGAGGUGAAAUUCGUAGAUAUUCGGAGGAACACCAGAAGCGAAGGCGGCCAACUGGCCCGAUACUGACGCUGAGGCGCGAAAGCGUGGGGAGCAAACAGG